ensembl:snRNA U4 U4 spliceosomal RNA
AGCUUUGCACAGUGGCAGUGUCAUAGCCAAUGAAGUUUAUCCGAGGUGCAAUUAUUGCUAAUUGAAAAUUUACAUUGCAAAUAACUGAUCCCAAUUACAAAUCUUCAGUAGAAG